CCUACGGGAGGCAGCAGUGAGGAAUAUUGGUCAAUGGGCGCGAGCCUGAACCAGCCAAGUAGCGUGAAGGAUGACUGCCCUACGGGUUGUAAACUUCUUUUAUAAAGGAAUAAAGUGAGGCACGUGUGCCUUUUUGUAUGUACUUUAUGAAUAAGGAUCGGCUAACUCCGUGCCAGCAGCCGCGGUAAUACGGAGGAUCCGAGCGUUAUCCGGAUUUAUUGGGUUUAAAGGGGGCGUAGGCGGGCAUUUAGGCCGGCGGUAAAAUGUCGGUGCUCAACCCCGGCCUGCCGUCGGAACUGGGUGCCUUGAGUGUGCGAGAGGUAGGUGGAAUGCGUGGUGUAGCGGUGAAAUGCGUAGAUAUCACGAAGAAUACCGAUUGCGAAGGCAGCAUACUGGCGCCCUACUGACGCUGAGGCGCGAAAGUGCGGGUAUCGAACAGGAUUAGAUACCCUUGUAGUC
rnacentral:rRNA from 1 species